CUGGAAAAAAUUAGAGUGUUCAAAGCAGGCCUUUGCUCGAAUACAUUAGCAUGGAAUAAUAGAAUAGGACGUGCGGUUCUAUUUUGUUGGUUUCUAGGACCGCCGUAAUGAUUAAUAGGGAUAGUCGGGGGCGUCAGUAUUCAGCUGUCAGAGGUGAAAUUCUUGGAUUUGCUGAAGACUAACUACUGCAAAAGCAUUCGCCAAGGAUGUUUUCAUUAAUCAGGGAACGAAAGUUAGGGGAUCGAAGACGAUCAGAUACCGUCGUAGUCUUAACCAUAAACUAUGCCGACUAGGGAUCGGGCGGUGUUUC
rnacentral:rRNA from 1 species